rnacentral:rRNA from 1 species
AUUGAACGCUGGCGGAAUGCUUUACACAUGCAAGUCGAACGGCAGCACGGACUUCGGUCUGGUGGCGAGUGGCGAACGGGUGAGUAAUGUAUCGGAACGUGCCCAGUCGUGGGGGAUAACGUAGUGAAAAUUACGCUAAUACCGCAUACGAUCUAUGGAUGAAAGCGGGUGAUCGCAAGACCUCGCGCGAUUGGAGCGGCCGAUAUCAGAUUAGGUAGUUGGCGGGGUAAAGGCCCACCAAGCCAACGAUCUGUAGCUGGUCUGAGAGGACGACCAGCCACACGGGAACUGAGACACGGUCCAGACUCCGACGGGAGGCAGCAGUGGGGAAUUUUGGACAAUGGGCGAAAGCCUGAUCCAGCCAUUCCGCGUGCAGGAUGAAGGCCCUCGGGUUGUAAACUGCUUUUGUACAGAACGAAAAGGUUUCUACUAAUACUAGGAGCUCAUGACGGUACUGUAAGAAUAAGCACCGGCUAACUACGUGCCAGCCGCCGCAGUAA